GACAUGGCUUAAAUAGAAAUUAUUGCACUGGAAAAGUCGUGAGUCAUGCAGCAAGCAAUGAGUCCAGUACCAUCUCCUGCAGUAGUUGGACCUUCAAGCAAGUUCAGUACGACAUCUGUUUUAUCUAUUCCAUCUCAUUGGUUAUUGAAAACCUCUAGAACUGCAUGGUCAAAGAGGUAAACAUGAAGAGAAAAAGGAUUAUAUGACUAUCUAUGGACUCCAUGAUAGAUACCUAUGGAGGCAGGCCAACUGACACAGAAACCUGCAACUGACUGGGACACUGAUGGCAUUGUAUCCGAUAUUGAGGGAUAAUACAAACAAUGGAAUCUGGGAGAAAUAUGUAAUUGGGCACUUAGAUCCGAUAGAUUGAUGACACUGGGCGGAAUGUAGCUCAGGAGCAUAAAGGCCUAGCAGAUGAGACAUUCUAGACACUGACUAGGAAAAUAAGAGACAAAAUGGCAUUCCUUUUGUUCAUCAAGGACAAAGUGUUGCUGAAGUGCUCCCCAGCUGGCUGAGCUGAGGUCAUACUGUCAUGGAGUCGUACUGUUUGGUGGAUGAGGCAUAUCUAAGUAACCUAAAUCGAUCUUUGCUGUUUAACAUAAGUUACAAGAACUUAUCCAUGACAACACUAAACAAAGCAAUGAAGUCAUACCAGUCAUUCAUAGAUGCUGUGCCUGAGGAAAAUAUAUUGUAGAACCAGAAAUUUUUGCUAUCUUCCCAGUAAGAGUCACAGAAAUAAACAUGUUGUGACAGGACUUUAGUGGUUCAAUAUUGAAAUGAAAAUGACAAAAGAAUAUUAAAAAAAAUGAGGAAAUCAUUUUAUGCUACUACAUAUAGAGAAUAGAAAACGAAAAGGCCAACUUUCUUAGCUCACCUGUCACAGUGACAGGGCGAGCUUUUGUGAUUGCCCGUCGUCCGUCCAUCCGUCCAGUUAACUCUGUUCAGUUUUAUUUCCGAGAGUAUACCUAUAUAGCUCUGUUCAGUUUUAUUUCCAGGAGUAAACAUAUAGCUCUGUUCAAUUUUAUUUUUGAGAGUAUGCAUUAAUUUAUUACAUAUAGCUCUGUUCAGUUUUAUUUCCGAGAGUGUACAUAUAGCUCUGUUCAGUUUUAUUUUUGAGUGUGUAAAUAUAGCUCUGUUCAAUUUUAUUUCCAAGAGUGUAAAUAAACCUCUGUUCAGUUUUAUUUCCGAGUGUGUAAAUGUAGCUCUGUUCAGUUACAUUUCAGAGAGUGUAAAUAUAUCUCUGUUCAUAGUUUUAUAUUUCUGAGAGUGUAUACAGUUUUAUGAUGUGUGUGUGUUCAGUUGCAAGAAAGAAAAUGUUCAGCAUUUACUAUUUUUCAUGUGUGGCCGAGUUGUAAUGGUCCAUGACAUUGGAACACUCGAGUACCCUUUCCUUCAGAUGGAUGCAGAAUUCUUUCAUGUGAGGAAGACAAAAGUUUGGUAGUUGUACCCAGGUCUUCUUUAAGCACCCAUGUAAAUUUGAAAUGCCACUACUUUGUUGUUUUGCAGGUUGAAACUUUUAACAUGUCAAAUCAGUUGUACUUCAUACUUGGUAUACAUACUUUAUGCAGCUGUGAUGAAAAUAUUGCAUUGUUUUUGUGUGUUUUGUCUAUUAUGAUUGCAGUAAGUAAACUUUAAACAUUA